CCGUCCCAAUAUUCAAGUCCCAUAUUCCUUUUUGGGCCGUCCCAUGUAACAAGUCCCCUUUCCUUUUUUGGCAUUAAUUAGGACUCAAUUAAGCAUUUAAUUAAAGUCUCUCUCCUCCCCACCAACCAACCCACCUGCUUCUCUCUCUCUCUCUAUCUAUCUCUCUCUCGUCUCAACCCCACCCACCAUCCUCUUCCACCGCUUCCCUCCUCUCACCGCCACCACUGCGCCGGGCUCCAACACCUCCUCGCCACCGUUCCUCUCACCCCUCCACCUUCCACCGCCUCCAACACCUCCUGCUCCGCCUCGCGUCUCCGCCGCCAACGCAAAUCGCGCCGCCUCGCGCUUCCGUCUUCACCGCCUCCAACACCUCCUGCUCCGCCUCGCGUCUCCGCCGCCAACGCAAAUCGCGCCGCCUCGCGCUUCCGUCUUCACCGCCUCCAACACCUCCUGCUCCGCCCGCGUCUCCGCCGCCAACGCAAAUCGCGCCGCCUCGCGCUUCCGUCUUCACCGACUCCAACGCCACCGCCGCUUCGCGCCUCCUCCUGCGCCGCCUUCCACCGCGGGCAGAUCUGCUCAAAUAAGUUAGGGAUCUGCUCAGAUCUGCGUCGCCUUCCGCCUUCCACCGCUUCGCGCCUCCCACUGCGCCGCCUUCCACCGCGAGCUCAAUUUUAUGAUUUUGAUUUUGAAGUUAGGAUUAUUGAAUUAUGAUUUCGUCUAUUGGAGUUGAUUUUUUAUUUUGAUUUAUGAAAGUGGGAGAAAGAGAUUUUGCUAGAUCUGGGAAAUGAUGUAGGUAUUGCUAUGGGUGUGUGUUCAUGUGUUCUGUGAGACCGCCGGAGAGAGACCGCCGGAGGUGUUCUGUGAUUUCGUCUCUUCCACCGCUUCCCCUUUCCUUCCUUUUUAAUUUUGCUAUAUUCCUUGUUGUAUUAGUCAAUUGAAUUAGUAAAUAAAAUAACAUUAAAUAAAGCAC
rnacentral:lncRNA from 1 species